UGUUUAAUUUGUUUUUUGUGUUUAAUUUACGAUUAUUUGUAUUUGAGAUUCUGCGAUUAAAUUUAUUUUGUUGAAUGUAAUGUUGUGAUACUGAUAUUGCAUAAUUUAUUGUAAAUGUAAUAUAUGUUUCAGAAAAUUAUGUAAUGUAACGCGAUGGAAGUUCUUUAAGCGGGCAUAUCCUGUCCAAACCCAGUAUACAUGACAUAAAAGAUUCGUUUUCACUUGUUUGCAUGAAAAGCAUUAAUUCAUUUAUGCAUGAAUAAGUACUAGUAUAUUGACUAUGACUUUUGUAAUUUAGUGUUCCAAAGAAAAAAGAAAUGAUAAAAUCAAUGCUCUUACUUAUAAGCUUCAUUACUAUCCUUGUGAGCUUUCCAGUUGACAUUUCUGACCUUGGAGAACAACGUCUACGUCCUAAAAACUACCGUAGAAACUGCAAAAAUCUUGAUCCUUUAGGAUUGUUUUUCUAUCGAAGACAUGAUAUUGGUUGUGGAAAGAUCAGUGCAGCUAGGAAAGUAGGAAAUGGUGUUGAUGUUUUGGGCCAACUUCAGGUGAAGCCAGUUCAACAUACCGGUAGACUCAGAAGAAAAGCACGUAAAAACCAUAAGCUGGUUAAACGCGGUUUAUUUUUUUAGAUAAAGUGUUCAAAAAGACACGAAAUACUUUUUAAUGAUAGGUGCGAUAACAGUUGAAGACGAACGAAGGAAUUUGCCGAGAGAUGCUUUUAGAAGUAGAUAGCACUAGAGCAGAUUUAACGGUAGUAUUAUGUGAAAUAUAGGGACUUUGCCAAU